GAUGGCAUGUAAUUAUUAGGGGCAAACAUGUCCAAAGCAAACCUCAUUCAAUGCAGUUUAGCAACUCAAACCAAAUACCUAUGGCUAAAAAUAAACAACUAAAAAUAAGUAACUCAAACCAAACAGGUCCUUAGAUAUUUAUGGUUCUCCUCCUUAUAAGUCAGAUUCAUUUCUUUUCCAUGGUGUCGCUUACUGUCAUAUGUGGUUGGAGAAAAUGAUCGUUCUUUUUUACUUGUAUGCCAAUUUCCUUUUCUAGAAACUCCUAUGAAUUAUUGUAGAGUUCUAGACAAUUGUUGAACAAUGAAACAUCAAUCUUAGCUUGUAAUCGUUGUCAUGGAAAGUAUUUUUGCAUAUUCUUAUGGCUUAAAUAUUUCAUCCACCAAGUCGCGCUAACUUUUGUAGAAAAUUGCGUUCACAUGAUUGUGAGGAAAAACUGUUGGCAUAAAUGGACUUAUUUGAAUCGCUGAGGCGGCAGCACGAAAGCAACACGCACGUAGCAUGUAGCAGCACUAGCGAAAAAUUAGAUCGACCCGUAAUAUCCAUUGGGCACCACGGAUCAGCAUCUAAUUAAAUAUUUAAAUUGAUAAUAUGGUGCCCAUGUACAACUUGUAUUCUCC
rnacentral:lncRNA from 1 species